UCGUAACAAGGUUUCCGUAGGUGAACUGCGGAAGGAUCAUUACCGAGUGUAGGGUUCCUAGCGAGCCCAACCUCCCACCCGUGUUUACUGUACCUUAGUUGCUUCGGCGGGCCCGCCAUUCAUGGCCGCCGGGGGCUCUCAGCCCCGGGCCCGCGCCCGCCGGAGACACCACGAACUCUGUCUGAUCUAGUGAAGUCUGAGUUGAUUGUAUCGCAAUCAGUUAAAACUUUCAACAAUGGAUCUCUUGGUUCCGGCAUCGAUGAAGAACGCAGCGAAAUGCGAUAACUAGUGUGAAUUGCAGAAUUCCGUGAAUCAUCGAGUCUUUGAACGCACAUUGCGCCCCCUGGUAUUCCGGGGGGCAUGCCUGUCCGAGCGUCAUUGCUGCCCAUCAAGCACGGCUUGUGUGUUGGGUCGUCGUCCCCUCUCCGGGGGGGACGGGCCCCAAAGGCAGCGGCGGCACCGCGUCCGAUCCUCGAGCGUAUGGGGCUUUGUCACCCGCUCUGUAGGCCCGGCCGGCGCUUGCCGAACGCAAAUCAAUCUUUUUCCAGGUUGACCUCGGAUCAGUAGGGAUACCCGCUGAACUUAAGCAUAUC
rnacentral:rRNA from 1 species